rnacentral:lncRNA from 1 species
AUUGAUACCAACUUUCAAAAAGCCACAUCAAAUCUAGAAUUAAGUAUUUGAAAGAUACUAUACCAAACUGAAGUAUUGAAUUUUUAUAACAAAGCAAAUCAGGUAACUUACUUCCAUCCACUCCAAAAUGUCUAGCAUAUAAUGUAGAGAAACCAAUGAGGGAGAGUGAAUUAGAUAAAGAAAGUAGAACUUGUGGAAGAGGAUGGUAGUUUAGUGUCUACAUGAAACAGUUUUAAGGAGAUCUAAGCACCCGAACAAAUUGUGAACAUACUCUAUAAAAUCAGUAGGUGUGAAAUACUUUAAUUAGGGUAGUUUGUUAAAAAAAAAAGAAAAAACAAUGUAUAGGAUAAAUAAUUGUCCUAUAAUGUUUGGUAUAACAUAGAGUGUAUGAAGCACAAUUUAAAUAUCAUAAAACAGGAAAAUGAUUAGUAUUUUGAGAUAGACUCUCCCUUAGGCUAAUGCUAAUUAGAGUUUCCCACAUCAAAUCAUAGCCCCCUUUAUAACCUCUUCUCUCACAAACCACACAAAAACGACACGAUACACCGC